GAGAUGAAGAUGGAUCGCGGUGGCUGCCAGAGAGAUUAAUUCGUCAGAUGAACACAGAUUCUGACUCUUCUCAUAAGUAUCAUUCUGAAGACUAAAGUUCCUUUGUGGUUAGAAUUCAGCUGGGAACGGAAGCUCCCAGAAAAACCGUUUUCCUGCUACUCUCUGAGCCUGCUACCUGACACAGGAGGCUAGAGAUUAACCUCAGCUUUACUAUUUACAUUUGAAUAAAGUACCUAGACUUCCCCCAAAAAAUAUCUGCUUUCCUACUUUCUCAAUGUCUAGUCUUUGUUUUUCAAACAGGUCAAUCAACAUUCUCCAGCCGGACCAGGGAAUGUGCAUCCCCGCCCCCCUAGAGCACACAGGUGGCAACUGCUAUUUUCAUUCCCAGGACAUUCCAGCACGUGGCCUUCAGUCUGAUUUGAAAUUUAUGUUUACCAAGAGGGCUAGAAGAGCAGAUAAAAGAUUGCUUUUUAUUCUGAUAGAUGGGCCUAGUCCCUUGACUGGCCUCUGGCUUUUCACCCUUGCUGUUACUGCAAGGUGUCCUUAAUUCCUCAGGCUAUGGGAA
rnacentral:lncRNA from 1 species